rnacentral:rRNA from 1 species
UACGGAGGAUGCAAGCGUUAUCCGGAAUGAUUGGGCGUAAAGCGUCCGCAGGUGGCGAUGUAAGUCUGCUGUUAAAGAGUCUAGCUCAACUAGAUAAGAGCAGUGGAAACUACAUAGCUAGAGUACGUUCGGGGCAGAGGGAAUUCCUGGUGUAGCGGUGAAAUGCGUAGAUAUCAGGAGGAACACCGGUGGCGAAGGCGGCUUUCUGGACAGAAACUGACGCUGAGGCGCGAAAGCUAGGGGAGCAAACAGG